rnacentral:lncRNA from 1 species
UCGCGUGUAUUGCGUAGGGUGAGGAGAGCGCGUGAUCGAGCGGAGUGAGGCCAGUGAUUUGGGCCGAUCGAGAAAGAAGUCCAUUGAUGAUAAUUCGGCGGUCGGUUCUCGCGUUUGAUGUGUUCACGGUCGAGGGAAAAAGAGCGCUACGAUGGAGCGGGCAACGGCGUAGGGCUCGUGUUUUGUGCAGCAGCUUGUGAAGAGGGACCUCGCUUCGGGGUGUUUGGGGUUGCAGCUCGAAGUUUCCGAGAAGCUGAGAUCCAUUAAUCGCAGUUGACUUUUUCAUGCGCGAAGCGCGCGCGGAGUUUGCGUUUAUUUGGCAGCGGCUCGAAUUUCGUGUCACAAAUGGGGCCAUUGAUAGAAACGCCGCCGCCGUCGCCGCUACGGAAACGGGCACGUUGUUAAAGGAAUUGCUAACACAUGCGCCCUCUACGAUGGCUCUUGCUUUAGUAUCGUAGAUGAAAAUAAAAUAAGUGGCGUGUAAACUUCAUCUCGACGAGCGUUGAAGACCCGCCUCGUUCCAAGCACCGAGCACACGUUUUUUCAAAAGUUCCUGAAAGUCGGCAGAAAGUGGGGCAACGUUAGUCUCGAUGCGAUACAAACCUGAUUGUACAAAAAUGCUGACAUUUAUCGACCGAAUAUAAAAAAAAAACGUUUCGAUACCUCCGCGGUAUCUCGCUGGAGAAAAAUGUCACCGAAUCACCAAAAAAACAAGCAGGAAUUCGAAUGUGUUUUUGAGCCGAUUGAAAUCUCAUUGAAACACGAGGAAAGUGAGGGCGAUCGUGUCCGGCUACCGAAUCAACGGUUGCCUGUCCAGAGGCCUCGCUCGACCUUUCGUGGGAAAAUUUCUACAAGUUUGACUCCGACGAAGAUCCAUCGAAUCGCAGCAAUCACUUCAGUCGUCCGUUCGGACCCGCGAGCGCACGGAAUAAAAAUCACUUGGGCGAAUGAAAAAACGACACUGGCCAAAAGUGCAAAGUCGCGGUCGGACCAAUGAAAUAAUGAUACUCGCAUAUUGAAUCAAUAAAAGGAGUCGAGUGGUCAGCCUCCGCACGGGCCUCGCAUCUACGAGAACUACCGAGGCAAUCGUGCUCUCUCCGACAUUAGCAUAUUACGAAUGCAAAUCUUCCAACGUCUAUUUAUACAUUAAUGUACAUAACGAGAGCCGUGAGCUCUCGGUGAAGGUGUACUCAUUUGCAUAGCCCGAUCUCGUCGCCCCCUCGACCCGGACGCCUCCACUCUCUUGACGUUUUUGUCGCCACGAGAUAUAAUACACCGUUUGACGUCGACGUCAUCACCAGUACUUGCUCUCCUCGAUUCCACGUUAUUUAUACGCUGCAAGGAUUCGCGGUUCGAUCCUUUACACGAAUCCUCUUGCUCCUCCUCGAGCUUAAAACACUUUGGAGCGAGUUUUUGCAACGAUCGAUUGUCCAGAGUUUUACGGUCACCGAGUUUCUUAAUGAUCACCAAGUUUUUUCAAUUCGAUGCAAAAAAUGCUCGUGCGAAUUGACUUUUUCCAGAGCAGCAGUAUGAGAUAUGAGACAAUGAAAGUCGAAAUGAGAAAACACUAAUCGAAGUGUCCAUUUCGUUAACCUCGAUUUUAACGCUUUCUAGAUAUUUCUCCGAUUCUAAUUCGUUGACGUCAGUGCAUGGAUCUCGGCCUCGGGCACUUUGAAACUAAUAGCAACGGAUCUGGACGAAAAACAUAAACCGAAAAGUUCUCUAAAUUCCUGCAAUUUUUGUCAAUCAUCGAACAGAUGGCUCUCGGAGAUGAAUCGAAAAAUAUGGAGAAAAACGAAGCUGAUGGGCACCGGGAAUUGCGAGUGGAAGCAAUCCCGCAAAUUGAUUGAUCGGAAAAAAUGACUACGAUUUUCCUCGUUGAAAGACUUUCAAUCAACAUUCGAGGGAACUCGGCAUUGGAGACUCGCGGAUCAACGGAGCACCAGUUUCAUUAUUUUUCAUCUCGCUGCUCACCGCAGCUCUCGAUUAAGAGUCUCGAGAAAUUCGAGUCGAGAUAUCUCACGACACCAUGGUUGACCACCCCUGCGGGUCAAUCGUGUCAAUUGUGAUGAAUGUUGGAGUCACGCAUCCGCGCUCAUCUGACUCCUCGUCGCUGGGAUGCUUGGCCAGAUACACGAGAAGAAUAAUCCCAAUUUCGCUUCGUCAUUGCGCCUCUGUUACAACAAUUGAUACGUGCAUAGUCCUCGCUUUUCGUUCCUUCGAAGCAACUGUUUCUCUUGAAAUUUUAUGGAAGAUUCGCUUCUGCUGCACCAAAACGAUGAUUGAGAAUGCAUUUCGUUGAUUACAGCUCCAACGAUGAUUGUUCGCCGAGAAAAUGUUUCGCCCACGCAUUUAGAGGCUCGUAGGGUUAAAAAUACUCGGAGCUGUGACAGAAAAAGUCUGGAAAGCCGAGAGACAAUUCUCACACGCACCAUUUUAUUUUGGCUCACAUAAACGGGAAGAGCUAGUCAAAGUGGCGACUGACGAUGCACAAAGAGAUUGAAAAAACGUCCUGCUUGCUUCCACCGCGGAGAUAGGCCGAAGCAGCGAAAGAUAAACACGUGCGGCGACUAUAAUUUUUAGUAAAAUAACCAUUUCCAUUAUUUUUCGACCUCGUUCCCCAACCGUUGGAAAGGCUUUCUCUCCAAAACGUAUAUUGGAAAUAAACUUCGUCACAUAACUCUCGGGAAACGGCUUGAAUCCAUCCUUCCGUCAGACUCGCUCUCCAACUAAUUAUUCAAAUUGACAAUUAUUAUUCAUUUCAAGAAAGCUGCUCUGACGCUCGAAUCAAAAGUAUUUUUCAACGUUGGAAAGUGCAUCGGAGAGAAAAAAAAAACAUCCGUAAUCUGAUCAGGAGGGAACGACAAUUUAUUCCGAGGCUCCACUCGAUUUCUUCUUCGCGCUCACAAUCAUUUUUAUUCAUUACUGAUUUACAUUGACCAGAAUUUUCUCGUAGCUCGUCGAUCUGGGAAGAGAAAUGAAGAGAAAAAUGGGCGAAAUCUCCUUGGGAUAAAACGACAUUUGAAUUCGAAAUUGAAAUCAAAAUUUUAUUCAAAUUUGCCUUUACUGACACUUUUUCUUUUGUUCAGGCAACGAAACUGUGCAUCCUGCAACAAAGGUUUUCUAUCCUGAAGCAAACUUCUUCGUCGAUUGAAGACUUGAACAAAGAAUUUCAAGAUUUUAGGAAAAUAUUUCAAAGUUUCAUUGGAAUAUUCUCAUCCAUGCGGUUGCUUUACGUUGAGAGAAUUGAUAAGACGUCGACGUUCAAAGAUACCGAGGAAAGGAUCUGAGCGCUGGGCGCCUACUCGACGUGAAAGGUGUACGUGAAUUUUCGAAGAGUCUGCUCGAUUUAUUUUGCGUGGUGAAAGUCACGUACGAUAUUUUGUGGAGUCAAAAUUUUCGGUCAACGAUCUGAAGCAUUUGGGGGAACAUCGUCUGGUGAGCGAGCUCUCUCCGAUGGUUAACGAUCCCAGGAAAACCGAAAAUCCCGCACCCUCGUAUACAGUUGCCAGACCUUUUCGUUUACACGCCGGGAAAACUCGGCUCUUGGGUGAUCACUCAUGAAGGGUCGCCUCGACAGCUGCUUUCCAGACGUUUCUUUCUAGUUUACUCAAGUUUUUAUUGUCACUCGCCUCUUCCUACGAGAGCUACGUGCGAUGUAUCGCGUCUCAAAAGCCUCGCGUUUAACACUUUGCCAGAUUAUUUUUCUAAUUUUAUCAAAGAGUAUUUCAACCUGAAAAUAAUGAGGAAGAGCCACGUCAUUAUCGAAAAUAUCGACAGAGUUAAGGUCUCAUGAUAAUUUCAUCACCCAUUUAGGAUCUGCAACCAAAAACAUUUUGUUGAAAUGUCGAAAAAACUUUUGCAGCCACGAGUUCUAUGAGUUUGAAGUUUCGUUACAUUUCUAUUGUUCCCAAGCAAAGUGUCAACUUCGAGGAGCAUUUCGUCGAUAAAAUGAAACUAUUUUUGUUAAUAUUUUUCGAUAAAUCUUUGCACGAUCGUUUUAUUUUUUUAAUUCAUGUCAAUUAACAUUAAAAUUUAACCUCAUCGAUAACGGCACCGAUGAAAAGAGGGAUUCAGAAGCAAAUUUUGAAUAUUUCUUGACAGCUCAAUUGAGCUACCCUGUAAUAAAAUGUGGUCUAAUUACCAGUCGACUGUCUUGAUCAAUGUCACUGAAUUUUCGAUGUGACAAAUUUCAAAUGUUCACAAAGAAGUUUAGUCGAUGGGAAAUUCGUGAAAAAAUUCACUAGAUAAUUUUUCGGUUGAAUGCUAAAAUUAAUCGGCUCGCUCCCUCGAAAUGUUCGGAAGUGAAUAAAUCGUGUUGGAAAUUGAUUCGAAACGCCCGUCCGAGAUUGGGCCUCGUGGGCACGGAUCGCGAACCGCUGAAUCACGUGGAACGGGGAAAAAAAUUGCAGCUGUCAGAGUGAGCGUGGUGUAUACGCUCGUGCAAGUGCAUUUAUAUACGUGUAAUUAUUAUGGUCAACAUGAAAGACUCGGUUCGUCGCCACGCUUCCACUUAAAUCUGGGAAAAACGGAACGAGGACGUAAUUAAAUCGGCUUCGGAGUGCGAGAGCGAGCGAUCGACGAAUGAGCUUCGACAAGGAGUGGGGCCGAUAAUUACUUCUGCGAUGAGUACAUUAGUUUGUAAAAGUCGUUAAUUGACUGGAGUGAAGGGAAACAACUUACCACUGCUACUUCAACAUUAGUGCUAAUCGGAAAAAAAUUGUUACGCGUUAUCGCUUCUAUUGUAAUUGACGAAUGUGCACCGCUGACUGUUCCCC